AGACCAGCGAGUGCUUCUUUGGAGCAAUGCGCGGGGUGAGGGGCCGGAAGCAGCGGAGCUAGGAGCCGGAAGGGGCAGGGUGGCUCUGACACGCGCAUGCGCCCACGUUCUUGCCAGGCGAGGCGAGGCGGAAGCCGGAAGCGCGCGGUCCCGGGAGCGAUGGCAGCUGGCGGUCUGAGCCGCUCCGAGCGCAAGGCUGCGGAGAGAGUCCGAAGGCUGCGGGAGGAACAACAGCGGGAGCGUCUCCGCCAGGUGUCGCGCAUCCUGAGAAAAGCGGCGGCGGAGCGCAGUGCUGAGGAGGGACGGCUGCUGGCCGAGAGUGAGGACCUAGUGACGGAGCUGCAGGGCCGAAGUCGGCGGCGCGAGGGCCUGAAGCGACGGCAGGAAGAGGUAUGUGAUGACCCCGAGGAGCUGCGGAAAAAGGUCCAGGAGCUGGCCAGCGCUGUCCGGAAUGCCAGAUACUUAGUGGUUUACACAGGUGCCGGCAUCAGUACGGCAGCUUCUAUCCCAGAUUACCGAGGCCCAAAUGGAGUGUGGACACUGCUUCAGAAAGGGAGAAGUGUGAGCAGAGCUGCUGACUUGAGUGAGGCUGAGCCCACCCUCACCCACAUGAGCAUCACGCGCUUGCAUGAGCAAAAGCUGGUGCAACACGUGGUAUCUCAGAACUGUGACGGGCUCCACCUGCGAAGUGGGCUGCCUCGUACAGCCAUCUCGGAGCUCCACGGGAACAUGUACAUUGAAGUCUGCACCUCCUGCAUCCCCAACAGGGAGUAUGUGCGUGUGUUUGAUGUGACAGAACGCACCGCUCUCCACCGACACCAGACAGGCCGGACCUGCCACAAGUGUGGGGCUCAGCUCCGAGACACCAUUGUGCACUUUGGGGAGAGGGGGACAUUGGGGCAGCCUCUGAACUGGGAGGCAGCGACGGAGGCUGCCAGCAAAGCAGAUACGAUCCUGUGUUUAGGGUCCAGCUUGAAGGUACGCGCCGAUGACACCAUGAGCUCCCCAGGAAGUUCUAAAGAAGUAUCCUCGACUCUGGUGCAUGACCAAGCCCCCCAACCGGCGGCCCAAGCUCUACAUUGUGAACUUACAGUGGACUCCAAAGGACGACUGGGCUGCCCUGAAGCUUCAUGGGAAGUGUGAUGAUGUCAUGCAGCUCCUUAUGAAUGAACUGGGCUUGGAGAUCCCCCUCUACAACAAGGUCUUAUAGGGGAAAUCAAUAACUUCUUUUAAUCAAAGGGUUCAAGAAAUUAAGGAUCCCUUCACCUCUGGGCCUGGCAAUUCUUGUAUGUUAUGUUUGUGGUGUUCUGUGACGUGGGCCUAUUGUGUCCUGUAUUUUUUUUUUACAUUAACUUAGUUCAUUUUCUUUAUCAGUGCUUAUCUGUAUCUUACGUUUAUAAUCUGUGGUUCUACAUCUCAGACACAUGAUUCCUUCACGGUGUAGUCUGUAGGCCACAGCUCCCUAGUCAGCUGGCCUUCCCUCCCUCCAUUGCGGCGUCUGGGAAGGGGGAGAGGGUCUGGUCUACCUGCCCCUGGCCAUGAGUGAAAGGUGGGGCCCAGGGUUGCUAGUGAUUCACCCCUGGAGACGGAGGUGCCCUGGACUGCUGCCACCCUACCCUAUGCGUGCACGGCCCACUGACUGGACGAGACACUGAGUUCUGAGGAGGCCAGCGAGGGCGAGUACUGCCCUGUGAGUUGCCACCCAAGGAGGUGGCAGGACCCCAUCUUCUCCAUGGCAACUCCCUUGCGAGCUGGUGAAGAAGGCAGCCACAGUCGCAAGUCCCUCUGCAGAAGCAGAGAGGAGCCCCCACCUGACGACCGGAGCACCCCACUUAGCACAGCCCCCAUCCUAGGGGGCUGGUUUGGCAGGGGCUGCGCCAAACGUGCAAAGAGGAAGAAAG